rnacentral:rRNA from 1 species
AGAGUUUGAUCCUGGCUCAGGAUGAACGCUGGCGGCGUGCCUAAUACAUGCAAGUCGAGCGAACGGACGAGAAGCUUGCUUCUCUGAUGUUAGCGGCGGACGGGUGAGUAACACGUGGAUAACCUACCUAUAAGACUGGGAUAACUUCGGGAAACCGGAGCUAAUACCGGAUAAUAUUUUGAACUGCAUGGUUCAAAAGUGAAAGACGGUCUUGCUGUCACUUAUAGAUGGAUCCGCGCUGCAUUAGCUAGUUGGUAAGGUAACGGCUUACCAAGGCAACGAUGCAUAGCCGACCUGAGAGGGUGAUCGGCCACACUGGAACUGAGACACGGUCCAGACUCCUACGGGAGGCAGCAGUAGGGAAUCUUCCGCAAUGGGCGAAAGCCUGACGGAGCAACGCCGCGUGAGUGAUGAAGGUCUUCGGAUCGUAAAACUCUGUUAUUAGGGAAGAACAUAUGUGUAAGUAACUGUGCACAUCUUGACGGUACCUAAUCAGAAAGCCACGGCUAACUACGUGCCAGCAGCCGCGGUAAUACGUAGGUGGCAAGCGUUAUCCGGAAUUAUUGGGCGUAAAGCGCGCGUAGGCGGUUUUUUAAGUCUGAUGUGAAAGCCCACGGCUCAACCGUGGAGGGUCAUUGGAAACUGGAAAACUUGAGUGCAGAAGAGGAAAGUGGAAUUCCAUGUGUAGCGGUGAAAUGCGCAGAGAUAUGGAGGAACACCAGUGGCGAAGGCGACUUUCUGGUCUGUAACUGACGCUGAUGUGCGAAAGCGUGGGGAUCAAACAGGAUUAGAUACCCUGGUAGUCCACGCCGUAAACGAUGAGUGCUAAGUGUUAGGGGGUUUCCGCCCCUUAGUGCUGCAGCUAACGCAUUAAGCACUCCGCCUGGGGAGUACGACCGCAAGGUUGAAACUCAAAGGAAUUGACGGGGACCCGCACAAGCGGUGGAGCAUGUGGUUUAAUUCGAAGCAACGCGAAGAACCUUACCAAAUCUUGACAUCCUUUGACAACUCUAGAGAUAGAGCCUUCCCCUUCGGGGGACAAAGUGACAGGUGGUGCAUGGUUGUCGUCAGCUCGUGUCGUGAGAUGUUGGGUUAAGUCCCGCAACGAGCGCAACCCUUAAGCUUAGUUGCCAUCAUUAAGUUGGGCACUCUAAGUUGACUGCCGGUGACAAACCGGAGGAAGGUGGGGAUGACGUCAAAUCAUCAUGCCCCUUAUGAUUUGGGCUACACACGUGCUACAAUGGACAAUACAAAGGGCAGCGAAACCGCGAGGUCAAGCAAAUCCCAUAAAGUUGUUCUCAGUUCGGAUUGUAGUCUGCAACUCGACUACAUGAAGCUGGAAUCGCUAGUAAUCGUAGAUCAGCAUGCUACGGUGAAUACGUUCCCGGGUCUUGUACACACCGCCCGUCACACCACGAGAGUUUGUAACACCCGAAGCCGGUGGAGUAACCUUUUAGGAACUAGCCGUCGAAGGUGGGACAAAUGAUUGGGGUGAAGUCGUAACAAGGUAGCCGUAUCGGAAGGUGCGGCUGGAUCACCU